rnacentral:rRNA from 1 species
UGGCGGCAGGCCUAACACAUGCAAGUCGAAGGAGAAGUUUCUUUUCGGAGAGAUGGACACUGGCGCACGGGUGAGUAACGCGUGGGAAUCUACCCCGGGGUGGGGGACAACCGCUGGAAACGGCGGCUAAUACCGCAUACGCCUUGAGAGGGAAAGCUUUAGCGCCCUGGGAUGAGCCCGCGUUAGAUUAGGUAGUUGGUGGGGUAAUGGCCUACCAAGCCUUCGAUCUAUAGCUGGUCUGAGAGGAUGAUCAGCCACACUGGNACUGAGACACGGCCCAGACUCCUACGGGAGGCAGCAGUGGGGAAUAUUGGACAAUGGGGGCAACCCUGAUCCAGCCAUGCCGCGUGCGUGAAGAAGGCCUUAGGGUUGUAAAGCGCUUUCACUGGUGAAGAUGAUGACGGUAGCCAGAGAAGAAGCCCCGGCUAACUCCGUGCCAGCAGCCGCGGUAAUACGGAGGGGGCAAGCGUUGUUCGGAAUUACUGGGCGUAAAGGGCGCGUAGGCGGAAUAUCAAGUUAGGGGUGAAAGGCCUGGGCUCAACCUAGGAACGGCCUCUAAAACUGAUAAUCUAGAGUCCGGAAGAGGAUGGCGGAAUUCCUAGUGUAGAGGUGAAAUUCGUAGAUAUUAGGAAGAACACCGGUGGCGAAGGCGGCCAUCUGGUCCGGUACUGACGCUGAGGCGCGAAAGCGUGGGGAGCAAACAGGAUUAGAUACCCUGGUAGUCCACGCCGUAAACGAUGUGUGCUAGCCGUUGGGGCACUUAGUGUCUCGGUGGCGCAGCUAA